UUUGAUCGCAGCCUCUUUAUACCCACAGAUUCCCCCAAGUUAACAACUCGUUGAGUGUUUACUCUGGGGACUUCUUGUUUGGGCUCAUCUUCAGCUACCUCGAAUAUGUGGAAUGAUUUCAGGCUAAGAUGGAUCCAACCAACUUUCAUCCAUGCACCCUGUUCUGGGGCUGAGACAGUAAGGAACAUUGCAAGCUACCAUUAGAUUUCUGUUUUUCCUCAUGACUCUCCUCUGGCAUCCUUAAGCAGCACUGGGCAAGAAGAGCCAGUGGACCAGCUCUGCCAGGAUCUAUCCACCUUCCCAUCUCAUAGCCCAAUCUCCAUCUCAGAAGCCAAGAAAUCCAUGCCUGUUUCCUCUGGUAUCAACCAUUCACGGUUAGAUGCAAACAGUGAC
rnacentral:lncRNA from 1 species